UGUGUCACUGGACCAGCAGCCCAGGGUAAGCCAGCACACUCAGACCUGUUUUGCCCACCCUUUGCCCCCAGUCCUGCAGUCUAAGGUGGCAUCCUGUUGGCCUGGGUCUCAGGAGGUUGCAGGAACACAGGUGCCUCUUUGUGCUGACGGUUUCCCCAGCUCAAAGUUGGCUGGGAGGCUCCGGAGGAAAUGAAGGAGUCCAGUGGAAUCCAUGCCCAGAAGGAAAGUAGGAGGAUCACCAUGGCAACUGCAACCUGAACACAAGAAACAUCCCAGCUACUGCCCGAUGCAGGGGUGCAAAACCAGGAAGAGGGAUGUGCACCACAUACGCUCCUGAUGGCAAACGGUCUUGCAAGAAAACCCAAGACCGUCGCUAUUUCUGUCCACCGUGAGCGGACCUGACCCCACGGCCUCCACCACAGGGAGCCAGCACAGUGACAAGCCACUGAAAUAAGAUGAAGCAGCGCUGUGGUGAACUGAACUUAGCAUCCUCCUGAGGACCCAGUUCAAGUAGGAGACUUGAGGGGCGGAAAAGAUAGGACUCCGAGAUGCCGGAGACCAGAGGUCCUGAGAGACACACCGAGCAGAAGCUGCAUCCAAACACACCGACCCCGCCGGUGCAGCCAUUGCUGUGGUAAAGCACGAGGCCCGACCUGGGGUAGGAGCCAGGAGGUCUGUGACAGGAAAGAAGCUCUGUUCUUAUUGUCACCGUUUAAUGCAUCUUAGCACACAUUACCGGCCCCAAGAGCACAGGCAACAAAGCACACAGAGGUGGUGGUCAGAAUCCGACAUUUCCUACCACGUUGUGGAUGUCAUAGAUGACCUUCCUGGGUGGCUCCGUGGGGCCACUAUGGUGGUUACUAGACAGCUCGAUCUUGUUUUUUAAUGUUUUAAUUUUUUAAAAUGGGUGGGUCACAAUAACACAGUUCUGGGGGAGUGAUAUUUUGUUUCCACAGAAUGGUUUCCUUGGUAAGACUAUUCAUUUAUUUCAUGCACGUAUCCUGCACCAAGCUGCCCUGGCGCCACCCCAUGGCGCGAAACCCUUUGGAGGCUCCUGACUUAGACAUGAGAAAUCUGCACGAGUGCCCGCUAUCUCUUCUUACGAUGUGCUCUGUGCAGUUGGGACUUGUAAAAAACGGCCUGUCGCAUGAGCAAGACAGAUGAUCUUCCUGCCAUGCUAAUAGGAGCAAAUAGAACCUUUUACAUCUCUGUAGAACAACACGGUUGAUAAAGAGGCAACAGACUCCACCUAAUGGGCAUCAGUAGGCUGCCCAACGGGAACGGGCCUGUCUGUCUUUGCGAACUGUUUUACUCCUAUGACGCUGUGUCAUUUCCAGGAAUCAGAUGGUAAAAAUGAUAUAUUUUUGUGGUUUGGCGUCCGCAGCUUUGCUCUGGCUUCACUGGUAACCGUCAACAUCUGCAAAUUAUUAUGCGCUUAAAAAAGAAAAUCCACCACCACUGCAGGCUGCACCCUUCGUCCCCGGAGGGGCCAGCCUUCCUGCCAGGCCAUGGAGUUUCGAACUGGGAUCGAAACCAGGCUUCCCAGCAAACCCUCAUAGACAUUUGUAAAUAAGAGUGAGGAGCCCACUGUCUGCGGCUUUCUCAGCCCUAGGAGGCUGACUGUCGCAUCAUCCACUCGAGUUCUGAGGACAAAGAAACUGUGACAGCCAAACUAAAAAUGCACCAGGGCCAGCGCUGUCUUUACCGCUAUCAAAAGACUACGAGUUCUUGACUCAUUCGGGCCCAGGGCCACCCAAAGAGAACUCUGUGUUUGGGUGCCUUCCCCUAAGUGAGGGAGCAGAGGCUCUGCCAGUCAUGGAACACACAUCAAAGGCUUGGAGAAGCCCGAGCCUGGCGCUCAGAACCUUGGCAGGACCGCACCUUGCCCAGGAGCCCGUGCCGUGCUCGUCCAAGCCGGCUGGCUCUCGUGACUGCCUCGGAACAACAGGGCAGAUGUGCGUGUGGGAAGCGAGCCUCGCCCAACAUCUGUCCCGCGGCGGGCAGGCCUGGGAGUGCACAGAUGGCGCUGGAGUCCCCAGGUGGGCGGCGCAGACAAUUAGUGGGUGCUGCAUCAUGGGUAAUCUAAUGACCGGGGACACGAGGUGAAACGUGGUGUGAUGAGCUACGCCACUCCUCCCGGUCGCUCUGUAUUUUUCUUCUGAUAAUUUGUGCCCCAACUCACGUGAAGGUCACAGAGUUUCAUUUGAAAGAGGCUGAGUGGACUCAUUCAUGUGCCCUACGCCUGGACCCGAAGUGCUGAGUGGCUGCCCUUGCGAGGAAGGCGAGGAGGAGGGGUAUGCCGCUGAAAUUAGAGUGAAGUACUCAGAAAGAGACCACAAAGGUUUUUGGUGAAAUUAUACUUUGGAAAGUGAGUGUCCCUCUAAGCUGAUUAUGAUAGACUUGGACGGAUCACAGGAGGCUCAGACAGAAGACAAAGGGACGACUCCAGAGAGACUUCCUGGAGGAGGUGAGCUCUUUGAAGUGAUGAUGUGCACAGUUUGAGAGAAAAAAAUUGGAAAAAGGAAGACUAUGAAAGCCAAGGAAAGAGUAGGAGAUGAAUCAAAGGGACAAGGACCCAAAAAUAUGGUUGGGACCUAAGACAAGGACCUUGAUUCAAGAUAGGAGCCUCUCUCAGAGAUGCCACAUGACAGGGCAAAGAGGUCCAGCUGUCCACCCCAGGCUGCAAGAAGACAUCAGGUGACAGAUGCCCAAGCAGUCCGAGCAAUCAAGUCUUCCAAAAUGUCAUCCAGAGAGGGUGACACACCAAACACAUAAAGCCUUGUGACAGCUAGGAUUGGCACAUAGUCGGUGAAUAAACACCCACUGUAUUGAGAACUUCAAACUCAUGCCCUCCGUUAUCCACGGUGAGCUCACUGAUACAUGUUUAAGCCUUGAUUGUCCAGAAGGGGGACAGUGCAUUCUGCUAAGCAGUGGAUAACCUAUCUUUCCUACAAUUUUUUCGUGUAGACAGAUCGCAUUGAAAUUACUUCCUCAUUUUGGACCACAUGGCAAGGGACAAAGUUGUUGAGAAGAGGGCGCACCACGCAGUUCCCAAGCAGGGAGAAGAUCUACGUGAACGGCACAGUUUCUAGCAGGUGGUGACAUCUUCUUACCUAAGUACUGGAGAGGAAGCCUUGACCUUGUGACCUUGCAGAUGGCAUCUCAAGGGAUGAUGUUAAUUUAAGACUCUGUCAUAGGAGCUCUAGGGUCUGUCCCACCAGGGAAGGAGGCUACUGAGCACAGGCCACAGAUCAUCCAACACACACACACACAGAGUCAGGACCAUGAACUUGUGGUUCUGUGUUCCCAGCAUGAGGACCCCACUGCAGAGGCACUGGAGAACAGCCUGCGCCUUCCGUUCAGGGCUUGGGAUUCAUCGUGGAGAACUUCUUUGAUCCUCAGUCCAGUGAAGGCGACUGUCUUCCUUCCCGUGGACUGCCACAGCAAAGCCCAACCAAGCAGAGUGACUUAAAACACCAGACAAGAAUUCUCUCUCCAUUCUGGAGUACAGAAGUUCAAAAUUCAA